GACUCAGGUCAAUACCGGGUCUAGAUGGCUACCUGUGCAUUUUUCAUUUCAUAUCAUGCAUAUAUAUCGAGCCUGAAAUAGCUUAUGACUGUUAGACACAAUUUAAUUGAAAUAUGUGCUAUGGAUUAUGUCUAGGUGGUGAUCCAUUAGAUACGGGUAAAGGACUGUACCCGCGGACUGAAAAUAAGAGUAUAUCGACUCCUAGAACAGUGAGUAAACUUACUAUCGUCUUAAUUAUCUAGAGUAGAUUUAUUUAAUUAUGUGAUUUUAUGAAAAAAUAGUUUAAUUGGAAAAUUAUUGUGUUUUAUGGGAAAAUGAGAUUUUAUAAAAUUUUUGAAAAUUUAAUAAUGAUUUCAAAAAUAGAGUAAUUGGAGACCUAUACUAUGAUUCUGUUGUUUAUCCAUGAUUUUACAUUAAAUGGCUUAUGAUAAAUGUGGGUAUGACUGGUUAUUUUUAUGAUUUAAAGAAUAUGUGAACUGCUUUGAUUUGCCUUGAAUGUGUUAAGUGAGCCAUGUCAUACUAUUGUGAUUUUAUUAGUUGGUAGAUUAUAAAGUGGGCACUGCAGUGACGGGGGUUCCGUGGGCCAGCCUAAUUAGAGGGCACGAUUCCCAAUUAUUGAGCUUACCUCGAUUGGAGAGGCGCGUAGGAUAACUCCCGAGGUAGGAUUUGAGUACACUUCACGCUGGCCACCACGUGAAACUGAGACUCAGCCAACGUCGAGGAACGGUUAUGUUGUCAGAGGUGAAAUGUGUUUGUGUGUGUGACAAUAAACAGCCUUGGCAGUCUCAGUAAGAUGCCUUCGUGGGGUAUCUCCAAGAAUGGAUUUUUGGCAAAGGCCAAGUUUUUGAAAAGUGCAUAAGCCAUGUUGAGUAAUUGGAUGAAAUCCAAUUAUUUAUAUGGGUUGGGAUGAAUUAUUUUAAUUGUCUCCUAUCACUCGACUUUAGAUUAUUUUGAUGAUGUCUGUCUACUCACUGAGAUUUUAUAAUCUCACCCCUUCUUCCUAUCCAUUUUUCAGGCUCAGGACAAUUUGUUGAUAGUUGAUUAAGACGAAAAUUAAUCUCAGAGUUGCAUCUUAAAAAGUAAGAGUUCGUAACCCUACAUUUUCUUAGUCAGUUGGGGGCCCACGUGUCACUGUAAAAGAAAUUUUAUUCUUCAGUUAUUUAAUUUAAAAUAUGUAUGAAUAUAUUUAGCUUUUACACCAUGUUUUUGGUGAGUUUCGGUAUUUUCGAAGAAAAAUGACGAAAAUGCCCCUGUGAGCCAGAAAGUAAUAUUUUAUUGUUUUGAUUUGGAAAUGACUUAUGAUUUUUUUUUAAAUGUGAGAUUUAAUAACUGUCGCUCACUGGAGAGAUGCAGAAGCUGAUGCUAAGCCUUGCGAGGUUUCGAUCGGCAUUCGGGGUAAUAAGUGCUUAUCGGGACGUCGCGGCGGUUGUCACGGGCUCGAUGGGAGUUUCGGGUCGUGACAGUUUUAAGUCCACACAAAGUGUGCAACAUGUUAGCAAGAAUUUCUUGUAUGUUCAAAUUGUUAGAACUUUGGUGGUUGAUAAUUCUCAAGCAUCUCAUUCCAUCAACUCUUUGAAACUAUGAUUUAUUCUUUGAAAGUAUGAUUUUGCAUAAGUGUAAGAAGCAUGAGUAACACUUUCAACUUGAUUUUUAUCUUGACCAAAUAGAAAUUUCUCUUCUUCUUUUUUAGAACAAAAUCGAAGAGCAACUUCUUGAAAAAUCUUGAAGCCUAAUAUCCGUUUUUUUUUAAUUUUUUUAAUUUUUCAGAACUUGAUUCUUGAGACUUUGGAGAAGCAUUGAAUCUUCAAAAUUUUCUUCUACAUUGUGUAUCAAAUGAAUCAUAAGAGUAUUAUAUUUAUAAGGCUAGAC
rnacentral:lncRNA from 1 species